rnacentral:rRNA from 1 species
UACGUAGGGUGCAAGCGUUAAUCGGAAUUACUGGGCGUAAAGCGUGCGCAGGCGGUCAUGCAAGACAGAUGUGAAAUCCCCGGGCUCAACCUGGGAACUGCAUUUGUGACUGCAUGGCUGGAGUGCGGCAGAGGGGGAUGGAAUUCCGCGUGUAGCAGUGAAAUGCGUAGAUAUCUGGAGGAACACCGGUGGCGAAGGCGGCAUCCUGGACCGGCAUUGACGCUGAGGAGCGAAAGCCAGGGGAGCAAACGGG